rnacentral:rRNA from 1 species
UACAGAGGUGGCAAGCGUUGUUCGGAAUUACUGGGCGUAAAGGGCGCGUAGGCGGCCAUCUAAGUCAGACGUGAAAUCCCCCGGCUUAACCUGGGAACUGCGUCUGAUACUGGACGGCUUGAGUAUGGGAGAGGGAUGUAGAAUUCCAGGUGUAGCGGUGAAAUGCGUAGAUAUCUGGAGGAAUACCGGUGGCGAAGGCGGCAUCCUGGACCGACAUUGACGCUGAGGAGCGAAAGCGUGGGGAGCGAACAGG